AGUGAACGCUGGCGGUAGGCCUAACACAUGCAAGUCGAACGGCAGCACCGUAAGAGCUUGCUCUUACGGGUGGCGAGUGGCGGACGGGUGAGGAAUACAUCGGAAUCUACUUUUUCGUGGGGGAUAACGUAGGGAAACUUACGCUAAUACCGCAUACGACCUACGGGUGAAAGCAGGGGAUCUUCGGACCUUGCGCGAUUGAAUGAGCAGCUGUCGGAUUAGCUAGUUGGCGUGGUAAAGGCCCACCAAGGCGACGAUCCGUAGCUGGUCUGAGAGGAUGAUCAGCCACACUGGAACUGCGACACGGUCCAGACUCCUACGGGAGGCAGCAGUGGGGAAUCUUGGACCAUGGGCGCAAGCCUGCUCCAGCCAUCCCGCGUGGGUGAAGAAGGCCUUCGGGUUGCAAAGCCCUUUUGUUGGGAAAGAAAAGCAGCAGGUUAAUACCCCGCUGUUCUGACGGUACCCAAAGAAUAAGCACCGGCUAACUUCGUG
rnacentral:rRNA from 1 species